UCAGGUUACAAUGGAUUUGGUAUUCGCCAGAAAUAGGUGUUAUUGGUCCAAAUGAGCAUCAAUUAUUUUGAUUAUUUCCGGGUGCUCUUCUGUCUGCAUGAGCUAAUGAAAGUCAAAAGACAUUAACUAAAGUAUUUUGUACAUUAACAAAGAAACUUGGAAACUUUACUAAAGUGCUAUCGUGUUAGUGACAGUGUGACAAAAUAAGCAAACAAUGUGAUGAGUGUAGAUAACGCGCGUUUGUGUUGACGAAGCGCGCGUAUAUGCUAGCGUGCAUAUGCGAAACGCGCGAUUGUGAAAGCGUAUACGGAGCACGCGUUUAUGCUAGUGUCAGUUCGUGGAACGCGCGUAUGUGUUAGCGUGUCAAUGUUCACGCGCUGCUAGCGUGCGAUCACGCGCGUUUCCGCGCGUUUGUGAGCGCGUUUAGCGGAGGGGCCGUUUGGAAUUAAGCUGGGUGCACAACACGGCGUCGGCGGAGCCUCGAG